AGGUCAUGUUGUGGGCAAUUUCUAAGUAACCCCUUAUACAUCCCCCAUGCUUCAUACAAUGACUAUCCUCCUUGUUGUUCGAAGUUGGCAAUGUUUUUCUUCAAUUU